CUGACUUCAACUGUAUAUAUAACCUGAAUGUGUAGAUGUAUGGUGACUUCACGUUUGGGGGAACAGACCAACGGAACUGCCAUGGUCAAGUCCCUUGAUAUAGGUACCAGGAAUGGUGGAAGGAGGAAAAUCUGAAGGUCACUGAUACUCCACCUGAUGUGGAAGUUGUCAAACCAGAUCAGAAUGCCUUCAAAGUCCACUUUCAGGAUGGAUGUGGAGGUUUUUGACCAGGUGAGACUGAACAUGGACCGGGCGCAUGAGAAAAAGGAGAGCCACCUGAGAAGAAUCAAGGGGACCAAGUGCUUCAACAUCUGGGUGAAUUACAUGGCUUGGAAGAAGGACGAAAGGAAGGCGAGACCCAGGAAAGACCAUCUCUUACCAACCCCACUGACAUCAAAAAUUAGACAGGACCUAGGGAUUCUGCCUAACACCCAGACAUGAUGUCCUCCAUUACCAACCACCCUCCAACUUUUCAUUACACCAGUUACUGUUAUUGUCAAGUUGUCAUUAUCUGCUAAGAAAGAGCAAAACAACUAUCAUACUGGGCACAUACUGUGAGGUGCACAGAUUAGCUAAAAACACUAGCACUGCAAACACUCAGAACAAAGAGAGCAGCAGCGCCUCUGAGUUCACUACCUGUUGAAAACA